AUUGAACGCUGGCGGCAGGCUUAACACAUGCAAGUCGAACGAGCGGCGGACGGGUGAGUACUGUCUGGGAAACUGGCUGAUGGAGGGGGAUAACUACUGGAAACGGUAGCUAAUACCGCAUACCCUCGGAUGUGCCCAAAUGGGAUUAGCUAGUAGGUGGGGUAAUGGCUCACCUCGGCGACGAUCCCUAGCUGGUCUGAGAGGAUGACCAGCCACACUGGAACUGAGACAAGGUCCAGACUCCUACGGGAGGCAGCAGUGGGGAAUAUUGCACAAUGGGCGCAAGCCUGAUGCAGCCAUGCCGCGUGUGAGAAGAAGGCCUUCGGGUUGUAAAGCACUUUCAGCGAGGAGGCGUUACCCGCAGAAGAAGCACCGGCUAACUCCGUGCCAGCAGCCGCGGUAAUAC
rnacentral:rRNA from 1 species